rnacentral:rRNA from 1 species
GUUUACCAAAAACAUGGCUUCGUGCUGAUCUCAAAAUACGAAGUCGGACCUGCCCAGUGAGUUUUAAACGGCCGCGGUACUCUGACCGUGCAAAGGUAGCAUAAUCAUUUGCCUUAUAAUUGAAGGCUGGAAUGAAUGGUUUGACAAGAAUAUAUCUGUCUCUUUGUGACUUCCUAGAAUUUUAUUUUUGGAUGAAAAAGUCCAGAUAUCAUUAAAAGACAAGAAGACCCUAUCGAGCUUUAGAGAAAUUAGUGGACUUGAUAAUAAAGCAAUAGUAAUAAAAGAAAAGCCAUUAAGUAUACUUUGGUUGGGGCAACCGAGGAGCAAAUAAAGCCUCCUUUAAAUUUUAAGUCACACCCGUGUUGAUCCAAACAUUUUGAUUAAAGGAAUUAGUUACCGUAGGGAUAACAGCAUUAUCUUUUUUAAGAGCCCAUAUCGAAAAAAAGGUUUGUGACCUCGAUGUUGGACCAGAAUAUCCUAAAGAUGCAGAAGUCUUUAAGGGUUGGUCUGUUCGACCAUUAAAAUUCUACGUGAUCUGAGUUCAGACCGG